ensembl:lncRNA
CGUGACGCGGUGGCGCCACCUGGCGGUCAGAAGGAGAUGAGAGGAAAUGUAUUUAACGGUUAGGACUCAAACAUAGCCUACUGGAUACCAGGGAGAGAGGAGAGAAUGAUUAAUACUCAUACGCGCCACCUGCACGUGCGCCAUGUUCUGACCUGAGCAGCUGAGCUAAUCACUGACCAACUGAGACCAACUGAAACGAAGCCGAUACGGAACGUAAACUGUGAUUCUGAAAAAAGUAUAAAGGCAGGCGACCAACGCAGGAACCCAGAACGAGAAAAGACGACAGAGGGGAAGAUUUUCAUCAGUAGCCUAUUCGAAAAAGACGAAAAAGCCCGCCCCCUCGCGGCCGAUAAAGAAAGUUUUUUUUGACGACCCACCAAUCAGCGACGAGGACGAGGACGACGACGGAGAAGCCCAAAGCGUCGGAUCGAACCCCCGUCAAACCAACGCUUAUAUUACUUGCUUUCAUUGAAUUAAACAAACCAUUUAUUCUUGUGAUUUUUAUAUUAAAAUAAUGCCAUUUGUUAUUGUCAACUUAUUGCUUUCAAUGAUAUCUUUUUAUAAUCCAUUUGCUGUCAGUGUUAUGAGUUUAUUGAAAUAAAAAACCCAUUUAUUAUUAUUCUUGUGAGUAUUAUAUUAAAAGAAUGCCAUUUAUUGUCAACUUAUUGCUUUAUGUAUAUAUUUAUAAUCCAUUUGCUGUCAGUGUUAUGACUUUAUUGAAAUAAACCAUUAAUUAUUAUUCUUGUGGACUUUUUU